rnacentral:rRNA from 1 species
GAUGAACGCUGGCGGCGUGCCUAAUACAUGCAAGUCGAGCGAACGGACGAGAAGCUUGCUUCUCUGAUGUUAGCGGCGGACGGGUGAGUAACACGUGGAUAACCUACCUAUAAGACUGGGAUAACUUCGGGAAACCGGAGCUAAUACCGGAUAAUAUUUUGAACCGCAUGGUUCAAAAGUAAAAGACGGUCUUGCUGUCACUUAUAGAUGGAUCCGCGCUGCAUUAGCUAGUUGGUAAGGUAACGGCUUACCAAGGCAACGAUGCAUAGCCGACCUGAGAGGGUGAUCGGCCACACUGGAACUGAGACACGGUCCAGACCCCUACGGGAGGCAGCAGUAGGGAAUCUUCCGCAAUGGGCGAAAGCCUGACGGAGCAACGCCGCGUGAGUGAUGAAGGUCUUCGGAUCGUAAAACUCUGUUAUUAGGGAAGAACAUAUGUGUAAGUAACUGUGCACAUCUUGACGGUACCUAACCAGAAAGCCACGGCUAACUACGUG